rnacentral:rRNA from 1 species
AGUGAACGCUGGCGGUAGGCCUAACACAUGCAAGUCGAACGGCAGCACAGUAAGAGCUUGCUCUUACGGGUGGCGAGUGGCGGACGGGUGAGGAAUACAUCGGAAUCUACUUUUUCGUGGGGGAUAACGUAGGGAAACUUACGCUAAUACCGCAUACGACCUACGGGUGAAAGCAGGGGAUCUUCGGAACUUGCGCGAUUGAAUGAUCCGAUGUCGGAUUAGCUAGUUGGCGGGGUAAAGGCCCACCAAGGCGACGAUCCGUAGCUGGUCUGAGAGGAUGAUCAGCCACACUGGAACUGAGACACGGUCCAGACUCCUACGGGAGGCAGCAGUGGGGAAUAUUGGACAAUGGGCGCAAGCCUGAUCCAGCCAUACCGCGUGGGUGAAGAAGGCCUUCGGGUUGUAAAGCCCUUUUGUUGGGAAAGAAAAGCAGAAGGUUAAUACCCCGCUGUUCUGACGGUACAAAAAGAAUAAGCACCGGCUAACUUCGUG